GGUGAGAUAUUAUCGCUACUAAUUCCAGUAUAUUUCCCAUCCCGUUAUGUUCCCGUAUGUUUUUAAUCUUGUUGGACUGUUCGUGGUCCAAUUACGGUUAGUUUAAGAAAUGCCGUUAUAGUUCAUAAAACGGAUAAUUUACUUACCCAAGUAAUUGGGUGGAUAAAGCUGUAAACAGAUUCCAUCUCGAAGUAUGAUGCAUGUUAGCCACCACAAAAUGAACACCCAAAAGGGCGGGG
rnacentral:lncRNA from 1 species